GAAAUCUUGUGGAAAACCUUCCCAGUAGAGUGGAAUCUGUUAUAGCUGCAAAGGGCGGACCAACCACAUAUUAAUGUAUGUAUUUAGAAGGAGAUGUCAUUUUGCUGUAAUGGUCAGGUGUCACAAUACUUUUGUCCAUGCAGUGUGUAUGUGUGUGUGUGUGUGUGUGUAUGUGUGUAUAUAUACCAUGUUGACUAUGACUAGAAGCCAAUAUAAAGACAGCACAGAAGGAAGUUAGUAAGCUGGAUCAAUAUCACAGAGGUUGAAAGAUCAAAGAUAGAUCCUGACUACUGUGCAAGAAUAAGGCACUGGACCAGAGGCACUGGAAACAGCUAAGGAAGGACUGGCAGCACUAGAAUCCAUACUGAGCAGAUAUACCAGAGAAGCAGAGGCUACAAGAAUCAAUGACCUCUUUACCAAAGAACCAUCCAAGGUGUAUGCAAAACACAGAGACCGAACGGUACUGGAAGAAUAUCUGGUAGAAAGAAGCAUCACAAUCUAUGAUAUCAAACAGUGAGUAGCACAUAUGAACAGUAGGUCAGCCCCAGGAAUUGACAUGAGCCACAACUACUGGAUAAUGAAGUUAACAAUGCUACAUAAAUGCCUAGCAGCAUUCAAUGUUACUAGAAACAGGCUCCCACCCUGACUGACUAACACAUGGCAGAUCAAUACUGGUCAAGAAGAACCCUCAAAAGGGAACAACACUAUUUAACAACCGAUUAAUCAACCGUCUACGCAGAACAUAGCAGCUCCUGUUGGGCAUCAAAGCCUUCAAUAUCGAUGCACAUGUGAGUUAGUACAUAACCAAUGUUCAGAAGAGGAUUGGAAACAACACCAGAAAAUUAAAACACCAAAUACUGGUAGACCAAGCAGUCACAAGUGAUUCUAAGACCAGACAGACCAAUCUGUACAAAGCCACGAUUGCCACACACAUGGAUACUGGAAUGCUUGGCUCUAUACAAGGUCAAUAGGAGCCUUCAUCAAGAACUCAAUGGGCAAGUGGGAAAACAACUCUAGAAACCAAUUCCAAUAACACAAGUGAACAUCAAAUGUGGCAUAUACCAAGGUGUUGCACUAUCCCCAAUGCUGUUCUGCAUAGACCUCAACCCCCACAGCCAGACCAUCAAGAAUAGUGGAUACAGAUUCAGGUUCAAGAGUGGAGCUUCCAUCAGUCAUCUACUCUACAUGGAUGAAAUCAAGCUGUAUGCCAAGAAUGAGUGGGAUGUUGACUCACUGAAUAACAUAAUCAGGAUAUACAGCAAGGACAUCAGAAUAUUGUUCAAAAUAAAGAAAUGUGAGCAGAUGAUAAAAAGGAUAGCGUAAAAGGGAAAGAUGAUCAGGACAGAAGGAGUUCAAGUACUAGAAGGCCAAAUAGAAGAUGUAGAGAACAGCUACUCAUGGCAACCGUGAGGAAGAAGCAAGGAGGAUAGUAAUAUAAAAGUACCUCCAGAGAGUCAGACAGGUCCUGAAAUCCCAAGUCAAUGGCAAGAAAAAGAUCCAAGCCAUCAAUGCCCUACUAGUCAUCAGGUAACCAGCAGGAAUAAUAACUUGGCCAAGAAGAGAACUGGUCGCCAUGGAUGUCAAGACCUGGAAACUAUUCACUAUGUAUGAAGGAUUCCACCCAGUACCCAGAGACUGCACACCAGCAUGAAGGAAGGAGGUCUGGGCCUGAUGAUUGUCAAGGUCACAGUCCUGAAUAAAAUCCAGAUGAUCCAUAAGUACAUCAUGAAGAUGGCUCCCAAAGAUGAACUGCUAUGGCAAUGCCUGAGACAACAGCAGAUAGAUGAUGUAGAAAAGGGGGGGUUCCAUGGCAAGACAAACCUCUCAAUGCGGUGUACCACUGGCAGAUAGUUAAUGAAGCUGAGAUAACAAAAUCCUACCAGUGUUUGGAAAAGGCAGGACUGAAAGACAGCAGUGAGGCCAGAGGCGUAACUAGAAACCAUGGGGCCCCGGUGCUAAAAUUGCCCUCCCCCCCCUCCCCCAUAUGUCUAUCCCCCACACCAUAUGUCCCCAACCCCCCACACAUGCAGACACACAUACAUGUAGACACACACAUGCAUACAUACAUUAUACAUACAUUAUACAUUAUAUGUAAUUGAAGAUUAUAUUAGCUUUAGUGUACUAAUAAUCUUAAUUUUAGUAAUGACAGGAGGCGAAUAUUUGCAUAUCUUUCUUUACUGAAAACUCCAGCAGCAUAGAAACAUAACAACCAAUCAGAAAAAAGUUAUGAUGCCCAUAAAAGGCCCUGUCUAUGACAUCAUUUCCUCUUUCUUUGAAAUUCUUUAAAUAACAACAAGAGACAUAAUCAUAUUACGUCAUUAGUUCAACAACAUAUUAGAAUAUCCAACUCCAUUAGUUCCGCGAUGCAGAGGUAUGGAAGGUGAAUUUUUGUCUCGAUGAGAAGACGUUCACGCUGCAAGAAAAAGAAAAGGUGAAAGGUAUCUGGCGUGAUAACUUGUCCGCAUACAAUAAGCAUAAGCAUCUGAUAUACCAACGAACAUUAGAAUGUGAAACAUAUCAAUAUAUAUUUAUUCUAACGCAAUGAUAUUUAAGGAUCUAUAAACACAACAUAAUGCAAGGUUCAUGUCUAAUAUUCAGCCAAUACAAGACCCGCAAGGUACAGGUCUAAGUAGCAAACAUACAAACCAUACGUACUUACCUUCCUGAACGUAAAGGACAUAUUCUGUUCAACACGAGAAACAUGGGAGGGAUCCUAUAGAGUGGGAAAUAUUCGCCUCCUGUCAUUACUAAAAUUAAGAUUAUUAGUACACUAAAGCUAAUAUAAUCUUCAAUUUUACCACAUGACAGGAGGCUUCAUAUUUGCAUUUUUAAAGCUUUGAAUUGACCAAUGUGAAGGAAGCAUGAGAUGUUUGCCAAAAAUAGAACGUUCUAAACGUACUCUCUCGCGCUCAGUCCGCGCAGCGUAUAAUGUCGGCUAGGGAAGCGUCGGCCGAAAAGGUUUGUGAGGCCGCCGCUCCCCUGACCGAGUGGGCUCCGAAACAAGGUUCGACGCUAAAGACAAAAACCAGCGGACCCAUCUGGCCAGUGUUGCGGUAGACACCGGUCCAUGAGGGUUCACGUAAGAAGUCAGAAGGUGAUCCGUCGAAUGAGUUCGAAGGGGGUAGAGAUAUUGGUGUACCCCAUUAGCGUUCUGACCACGCAUAGUGUGGCGUCUGACACAAAGCAUGGGUAUGACACUGAAGACGAAUCAGACGUAGUUCGUCUCGACAUGGUAAAGGUAACCCCGUCUGGUGUGAGAGAGAAACCAUCCAUAUCGCAAGCCCUAACAUCCGCCACCGUCUAAAUGAGGCGAGGCAUAAUAAGAGGGCUAGUUUGGCUGAAAGUUGCUUCAGUGACAAACAAGGAUUGCCCGGCCAUUCCCUAAGGAAUCUCAGCACCACAUCCACCUGCCAGAGGCGUGAAUAUUUGGGUGUAGGGAUCUCGACAAUUCUGCACCCCGCAGUAGUCGACAAACCAGUGUAUCUUGACCUACUGUUCUGCCCUGUACCGGAACGUGCGCCGCCGAUAUGGCGGAUCUGAUCACGUUGAGGGAUUGAUAUGACCGACCCAACGAGACCAGGUGUGACAGAUAGUUGAGGAUCAGUGGGACAGGUGCAGUAAAGGGAUCGGAAUCCCUUUCCACACACCAAUCACUCCAGGCCGACCAGGCAGAAAUAUAGCCUUUCCUGGUGCCGGGAGCCUAUGAGUCCCAUAGGAGGUCUUAGUUGAUGCAAUAGGUCGUGAACUGACCAGGAGCCCCUGAAGCCGUCCAGGCAACUAGUGCCAGUUGUCCUUCCAUGACGAAGGAGUGGGCUUCCCCUCGAGGUCCCGUCAGAAGUAGAGGGAAGGUAGGGAGUUGUAGAGGGUCUUCGCGAGACAUCUCCAGGCGAUCUGGGAAAAUCACGGUUGGCCCUGCUCGAGGGGUGUCAUGAGCAGGAGCGAUAUCUUGUGGGUGUGUGUGUGUAUCGAAGCACCCUUGCUAUUGUGGAGAACGGCUGGGUCACGUUUGCAGGGGUUCAUCCAUCGCCCCGUAUCCGAAGGAAGAGUCAAAGGUCGUUUUGCCAAUCCAAGUUUGUAUGUGAAGUAAUCACCAUCGAAAUUCCAUCCUCACUUCCGCUGACAGUGGGAUCCAGUGGUCGUAUGAGUGACCGGUGCGUACAUAUCUCACCAUCAGUCGUAGUGGGCCAGAGAAUAACGCUUGUAUGGAGGAGGAGAGGAGGAGAGGAAUCCCACAAUCCGACAGCUAUCCUUAUAGAGGCGCUCUUUGCCGUAGACAGACACGGAACGUAGUUCUCCAAGCCGAUGUCGAAACCGAGGAACUGGCCCGAUUCAGAUGGGGAAGCGAUCUUUGUCUGUGUACAACAAAAAACACAUGGAGUCCCGAAAGUGAACGACAAAUUUGUCUGCAAACGUAGCCUGGAUUCGUAAAGAAUCAGCAAGUCUUCCAGGUAUAAGAGGCAUCGCACUCCCAAAUUUACGGAUGUGUGCCCUCACUGGUUACAGUAGGUUCACGAGCACCACGGAGUCGUAAACUGCCGUGUUUGUCCUCACCAUUGGAAUCGGAGGAAAACUUCGGCAGUCCAGGGCAACGGGUACUGACAAGCGUGCGUCCUUGAGGUCCAGAUGUGUAAACCAGUCGUUAUCGCCUAGGAGGUCUUGUAGAAGACGAAUUUCCUCCAUCUUGCAGCAUUUGUAUACCAUGUAGGAGUUCCAUUGAUGUAGUCUCCUGGCUUCUUCUUGACCAGGAAAAAUUUGCUGGGGAAGCCUUCCCCUCCGGUGCAUGUUGAAUUGCGCCCCUCCUGAAGAGGGUGCAGAUUUUCUUGUCCACGAGGCGUUCCUGUUCCGCCAGCGUGCGUAAUGGAGGUGAAGGGGCGACCUGCACGGCUGUGAUAAAACUCUAUGACAUAGCCUUGUACUGUCUGGAGAACCCAGGUGACUUUGGUAGUCGUCUCCCAAUUCUGUAAAACAGAGACAGGUUGCCGGUCAUAAUAUUGGAAACAGUUAGUUAUGUAGGUUGACACACUAGUAGAUGAAGCGGAUGGGUUCCUUUGUGUAGUAGAUGGGAGAAAUAUGAGGACUGUGUAUACGAUCUGGAACCUGUCGCCCAGGAGCGGCUGGUGGCUCGGUUCAGCUACCGACCAGUCCUCCCAGAAACACCUUUCCCCGUAGGGUUGUGGAAGACUUGUUUUAGCGAGGUCUGGGUUUAAUUUAGUGUGGUGAAUAAAUUCACGUGUUUCUUGAGUACUGCAAUGAACACUACGUCGAAUAGUAGGCCUUGUGCUUUUGGGCCGAAUUCUUGUCGUUCCUAAGCCCAAUAGUGUGUUGUCGAUGCGGCCCAGUACAGAUUUGCGUCUGUCGGCGCAUAGUGCGUCAUUUACGUUGCCCAGGAGGCAUAUCGAGCAUUGAGACCAUUCUUUGGAGGUGGUAGUGUUGAGUUGUGUACCCUGGGGUAACUCGGUCUUGAGGCGUGCGCAUCCUUCCAUCCCCCGAGGGUUGCGCAGCCAAUAGUGUUCGUCCAGGAACGUUCCGUCUUCGGCUACUCUGGUUUAGUGCCGCUACAGUUAUCUCUGCCUCAGCCGCCGUCACAGAGUAAGGUUUCCCUAACGUACUUUGAGGAAGUGUGGGGAAGGUCUUGCCGUUCCAUUUCCUCAGACGGUGAGCUGUCUUCGUGUCGCUCAUCUACCAUGUCCAAAGUACGUGGUGGGUAAUAGUCUUCUUUGUCGGAAGAUUGUGGCGGACGGGGUUUGGAUUCCCUGUGCUCCGCCUAUUUGGUCUGAUCGAUGGGCGUCUUGCCCUUGACCUUAGCGGCAGGGGGGCUGGAGCCCUUCCCUUGCCGUUUUGACUUGAAGGCUUGUGGGCCUGAGGUCUCCAUCAAGCGGUGUGGGGUAGAGUUCAUAACAGAACCCUCUCCACUGAGGCCGUUACUGUGGCGUUUAGCAUUGCCUAGAAAUCUUGGGAACGUUGAGAGUGUCCACCAUGACUCGUUCCCGUCCUGUUGGGAGAUAGUGUGAGGGUCAGCACGUAGGGGUGUUAGACUCCUGGUAGAACUGGGGAUCACCCAGGUAAAACGGUUUGAAUUGCCUGCUUUAGUAUGUCUGAGAGUAUGAAUACUCGUGCCAAGUGUAGAGGGGUCACCUCUAUUAGUUUAAUCUGGCUACUGAGAGCCGUGGUGCAGGCGCGACUGACUGGUAGUGGUGUCGGUCUGGCUAGCCGGGUUCACCACAAAUGUACGCCAGAGCUGUAUGCACGGUUUUUAACUAUACAGGCUUAUUAUAUAUAGGCGCAUGGGGCCUGUCUCCAUAAGGUCUGCGGCCGCAGGACCCAUGUCUAUUAGGCUGGGUUCAUCCCAGGUGGUGUGCCAUGGUAACCCAGAGGACACCCAUAUUAUAAUUAUUGGCACCUUACAAGCAUUGCAUGCAUAUCUGGGGGUCAUCCCAGGUGGUGUGCCAUGAAAAAUUACAGAGGACACCCACGUUCAAUAUGUACACUAGGCACAGUAAAUAUACAUAUAUGUAUCCCUGUGAAGGGUACACCGCAAUACACUCAGUUUUCUUAGUGAUCCUGCCGUCAAGUCGCAUCCGGCAUGGUACUGUUGCUUUAAUGUAAAACUGACAGGCAGUGUUUAAACAUCCAUAUAUGUCUGUAGUAAUCAGUGGUAAAGUUGCGGCGUAGGCCUCCGUGCAUAUGAUCGGGGUUCACCCCGGGUGGUGUGCCAUGGUAACCCAGAGGACACCCACAUCAAAGGUAAUGGUCUGUUAGUGACCUUGCAUGCAUAUCUGGGGGGUCACCCCAGGUGGUGUGCCAUGAAAAAAUACCCAGAGGACACCCACAUAAAUUUGCACCGUCAGGUACAGUAAUAUAAUAUGACCCUCUGUAGGGUACAAUAAUAUAAUAUAAUAUGCCCUUUGUAGGGUACAGUAACACAAUAUGCCCUUCGUAGGGUACAGUGAUAUAGUUGAUCUUGUUAUAGGUACAGUAUAUGUUUUGUAUAACGACUGUGAUAUUGUAUGGCUUCACAAUAAUACAUAGAUUGUGUGCCUGCUCAACAUAUAAACAUCCAGUGUAAGAGUGCACCAUGAGAGAUAUAUCCAUGAGAAUAAAAAAUAAUAAUUGUAUCAAUAAAUGAAUGUGCCCAGAGAGGGGGACCCCUGAAGGGGUUAAUCCAGAUGCAGGGCGCGGUGAUCGGGUGAUUCCUGUAGGGUAUAGUAAUAUAGUAUGACCCUGUGCAGGGUAUAGUAAUAUGGUAUGACCCUGUAUAGGGUAUAGACCCUGAGUAAGGUACAAAGACAUAAUCUCCUUUAAUGCCUGCAUGUAAGUAUUUGUUUGGCAGACACUGUUGGCAGGCACUGUGGCAAAAUACAUUGAAAGAAUACAUGGAGAAAAAACUGAAAUCCAGCUUGCACUCUCCCAUUGUUCACUUGGGAGAGCAUACACUGUGGAGCCCGGCGGUCGGGUGAGUUCCCGAUCUGCCGAACGAGCAGGGAAGGCGGCCGUCGGGUAUCUCGCGAGCCGCAAGAUCCAAGAUGGCCGCCGCCCACAUGUGAAGGUGCAAAACAAAGGGGAUAAAUGCAACACAAACACUGACCCCAGCCUCCCUCCACCCGUCCCCAUACAGUCCCCUGUGUAAGAGAAGGGCCGGUCCGCGAGGCGAGCGCGACACGGGUAGUCGUUGCGCCCGCGGAUACCAGGCAGUAAGGUGGAAAUAAAAAGGGGGAAAAAACAGAGGGAUACAGUGAAGGGACAGGAAUAAGGGGGGCCAAGGUAGCAGGUGUUAGCAAUAAAUAGAGUAAUAUAUAGUGGUAUGACAAUCAAAAAACAGUGUAAAUUAAGAAUCUACCAGAGAGGUAAAAUACUCUGACCUGAUGCAUGGCUGGAGCAGCAAAGAAAGAGGAAAUGAUGUCAUAGACAGGGCCUUUUAUGGGCAUCAUAACUUUUUUCUGAUUGGUUGUUAUGUUUCUAUGCUGCUGGAGUUUUCAGUAAAGAAAGAUAUGCAAAUAUGAAGCCUCCUGUCAUGUGGUAAAAUUAUAUAUAUUAAUAUUAAAAUACACUUAGACAGUAUGUAUAUAUAUAUAUAUAUAUAUAUACUUAGAUCAUAUAUAUAUAUAUAUAUAUAUAUAUAUAUAUAUAUAUGAUCUAAGUAUACAUAAUUGUAUUUUACACUGAUUUAACUUUUAUGUUAUCUUUUUCAGACAGCAGGGGGAGUACUUGUCAUUACAGGCACUCCCCCUGCUGGCAAAGCCUUGGACGGAUAUGCCGUCUAUGUGAUCGUAAGGUCCUUGCAUAUAUGUAAAUAAUAUUAAAAAAAUAAUAAUAAUAUAUAGAUAGAUAUUCAAUACACACACACUACAUGGCACAAUGACUUAUGGGGCUGGCAUACAUUUUUUUCCCAAGGAUACUUUGUAGCCCCUGUCCGGCACUGCAAAAAGAGGCUGAGCAUGGAUGUCAUUACAAUUAUGCCCCCCUGGAAAAAUUCCUGCGGACGCCCAUGCCUAAAGGUAAUGAUUCUGCUCACCAGAACAAAUUCAAUAAGCUAUAGUUGUUCUGGUGACUAUAGUGUCCCUUCAAGGAUUUUAAAACUUUACAUUUCCGGCAUAGUGUUCCUCGUGUUCUGUUAUAGAAUUUGAUGUGUUUUACUAUAACUGUUUAUUUGUUCGUCAAGUGGUUCAAUCGUUUUGGUAACAUCUUCGAACAAUCACCAACUCAGGGAGUUACAUAGUUACAUCGUUACAUAGUUACAUAGCUGAAAAGAGACUCGCGUCCAAGUUCAGCCUUCCUCACAUUUGUUUUUGCUGUUGAUCCAAUAGAAGGCAAAAAAAUGAAAAAAGUUUGAAGAACUUCCAAUUUUGCAACAAGCUAGGGGACCUUCUUGACCCCAGAAUGGCAGUCAUAUUAAUCCUUGGAUCAAGAAGCUAUUACCCUACAUUGAAAGAUUAUAUCCUUGAAUAUUCUGUUUUUGCAAGUAUGCAUCUAGGAGCUGUUUGAACAUCUGUAUGGACUCUGAUAAAACCACUUCUUCAGGCAGAGAAUUCCCCAUCCUUAUUGUUCUUACAGUAAAAAAAACAUUUCCUUUGCCUUAGUUAUUUGUAGUCUUAUAUUUCUAACAAGCAAAACAAUAAAAUAUUAAGGGGGUAUUGGAUAAUGUUAUAACUUUUAUUUACUGUAUUUUUUCAAGUCCUUUGUAGUGCAAAUUUGUCCAGUGUUUCCCUUUAAUGUUUCAAAACUGUAUCCUUAGAAAAAUUGUGAUUGUGCUUAAAGGGACACUAGAACAAUUACAGUGUAAUGUAGUUGUUCUGGUGUCUAAAGCCUGUCGCUGCAGGCAUUUUAAUGAACACACUGUCUUUUCAGAGAGUCACUCAGAUGGCCAUUAGGGGUGCUCCUGUUUCAGUGCUGCAUAGAGUGCAUGAAGGUGUUGAACGUCCCUCAUAGAUGCAUUGAGUCAACGCAUUUCUAAGAAGAUGCUUAUUAACACAAUGCGGCGAUUUGCUGCAUAUGUGCGACAGCCUCCCAAUGCUUUCUUAUGGGUAUGCACUGGAUUGACUGAGAUUGUAAAAUUUGAGGGUGCAGUGGGGGGUGUGGGAGCAGAGCCAGCCACAAGGAGACCAGCGCAGAGGUGGAAAAAGUGAGUAAGUCACCUUUUCUGUAUACAUAUUUUUAUUGCCAUUUUCCACUUUCAAGUUAAACACAAAGCCAACAUAAAGAAAUCAUAGCUAAUAGGAUAUGCAUGUCUCCAAUUAUCACAUCAAGCACAUAAAAAUAAAUUAAAGCAAAAACUACGCUUAGGCAAAGGAGGUUUCUUAUCAAGUGACAUGCAGGUGCCAUGCCAUAAAAGAGUAGCAGAUGAUGUGGGCUCCCAAGUCCCUCAAUGUGCAGCAGGUAAAAGGCACAUAUGAUCAACAUACUGCAAACCGAUACAUUAAUGACAUUGUAAAUCACCGUUUUAACUGGGGACUAGGGGGGCCAGGGACCUAAAUGGCAACAGUAGAGUUAUAGUUUCAGGAAAUAGAUAACCAAAAAUACAUAAGCAAGCAAAAUCAGGAGUUUGUUAGGUUAAGGUAAUUUCGUCCAUGGUUGUCAGGAGUCUUUGGGAAAAAUUUUGUUAAAACAUAACAUUUAAUGAUAUAUACAAAUAAAAUAUUUUAUUCAAACACCCUUAAUACCAAGUUUUCACCAAGUGUAGAUAAAAAUCGGUGAAAGAAAAAAAAAUUAUAAUGGAAAAAGAUUAAUAAAUAAAAUUAAGAGCUAAAUGCUCUAAAAGUUGAAUGUUCUAUAGGUGAUAUGUUAUAUCACAUAGAAGGAGCAGCACAGUGUUGUCCUUUGUUGAUCAGACUGGUAGAUAAAGCAGGUACAUAAAGCAGAGAGGUGCUAUCCACCUUUCAAAAAGAAGCAAAAGAAAUAAAACAAAGAUUUAACCCCUUAAGGACACAUGACACGUGUGACAUGUCAUGAUUCCCUUUUAUUCCAGAAGUUUGGUCCUUAAGGGGUUAAGGAACAAGGAUACCCUAACAGGGUCCUAAAGAAGGCAUUUUAAAGAGUUUGAGGACCGUAAGACUUAAAUCCACAGACAAACAAAUGUGUUACAUAGGAACAUACAGUGAUGUAUCCUGGUUUUGUGCUGCCCUAGGCAGGACAAAACUCAGGCAACCCCCUCCCCCUCGCGCCACCACCACCCAACCCUGACCCCCCGCCCCACCUUCUAAAUAUACACUCACACACACAGUCAGACACACACACACACACAUACACAGUCAGACACACACACAGUCAGACACACACACACAGUCAGACACAAACACACACAGCCAGACACACACACACAGUCAGACACACACACACACACAGUCAGACACAAAAACACACACACACAGUCUGACACACACACAGUCAGACACACACACACACAGUCGGACACACACACACACACACACACACAGUCAGACACACACACACAAUCACUCACAUUAACACUUUUUUUUAAAAAUUUAAACACCCCCCCCCCAGCCUCCUUACCUUUGGGAGUGCUGGGGGGGGUUCCUCUUUCUCCCUGGUGGUCCAGUGGCUGCUGGGCGGGCGGCUGGCGAGGGAGCUCUUCCCCUGAGCGGUCUGCUCAGCUCCCUCGCGCCGCAGAGUGAGGCUGGGAGCCGGGUUGAUGACCUCAUAUUCCGGCUCCCAGCCUCACUCUGCGUUGUGCGAGGGAGCUGAGCAGACCGCUCAGGGGAAGAGCUCCCUCGCCAGCUGCCCGCCUGACCAUCAGCCAGCGCCGCCCAGUGCCCAGCAUGUCAGUUAGCCGCCAGGCUAACAAGGCAUUUGCCCUGGGCAUUUGGGGGGAGGCGUUUUUUGUCGCCCCUGAAAAAUGCCGCCCAAGGCAAAUGCCUAGUUUGCCUCACAGCUAAUACGUCCCUGGGAACAUAUGAUCAACUCUGGAACUCGAUAAAAUAAAUAUUUUCCAAUAAUUGGCCAAUUUUGAGACAUAAUCAGAACCUACAGGAAAGCAUUACACCAUUCCCUAGCAUAACGGCAUGGAAACCAAAAAUAUCUAAAAGACAUUCUAGUACACAGUCAUCUAGAACCAAUAUCAAACCCCGAGACAUGGUUGACUCAGACCAAAGGAAUAUAUAGAUGCAGUAGGUGCAAAGCGUGUAAGUUCAUAAAGCCCUCCAAAACAAUUGAGUGCUCUAGAAUUAACACAUAUCCAAUACAGGAUUUCAUCAAUUGCAGCACCACACAAGUUGUAUACAUCAUUACAUGCAGCUACACAUUACAAUAUGUAGGCAAAAUGUAUCAGCAACUGAGAACAUAUUUGCAAUCACAUCCAAAGGGCACAUGAUGGAGACCCAUCUCAUCUAAAAUUUCAAGCAAUUGAAAGAAUCACCACAAAUACCAUAAAAGGAGGCAUCAAUAUUCGGCUAUUGAAGAGAGAAUCAAAAUGGAUACAUGAAUUCCAGACGCUAGCCCCAAGGGGUUUGAACGAAGAAUUCAAUUUUACACCAUUUAUAUAUUAAUUCUUCUGCAAAAUGAUUAUCUUCCACCUUACUACUACCCCUAACACUAUCCAAUUUCCGUUCAUUUUGCAUUGCUCCUAUUAACAAUUUUUGACUGUAACUAAAUCCUGUUCAAUUUGGAUCCUACAAGAUUUUGAUCUAUCUACCCCAUUGAUAUUUAAAAAUAUUUGUAACAUAUUCUCCAAUAUUAUUACUAUUUAUGUCCAAUAUGGACACCAGAAUCAGCUUUUGUUUCCAUACAAUUUACUAUAAUAGUAUUCCACUGUGACCGACCAAUGCUUCUAGUGCUCACCGAGGACUCCAAGCACUCCACCAGACACCAUCAGCACCGUAGACUCCCACAAACUGCCGCAGCUUGGCUGGGGAUCUCGCUGUCCUCCACCCACCCUGGAUCCAAGACCAGGAUCCAGCUUCCGGUGGGUGAAUCUCUCCUAAUCCAGAGAGUAUAGCAGGAGCAGCUCUUAUAAGGGCGUAGGGAGUAUAGCAAUUCCCAGAGUGAAUAUAGCUGUCCCCUCCACACAUAAGACGAGGCUCUAUGUUGAAGGUGAAGAGGAACUGAUUUUAAUGGUGCCACACUUGGCCUAUUAUGACAAUCCCCAUGCAAGGGGCACUCCGACAUGGACCUUGUGGGGAACAUUGUUACAAAGUUACAAACCAAUAAUACCAGUGUUACAAUGCAUGACACUCUCAUAUACAAUACAAUAAGCCUUCCCCUUUACUUAGAAGAUAAUUGAGUCAAGCACUAUAGUAAACUCAAUUAUCUCCAAACACAAAAAGCACACAUUUUUAAUACCCCCCGUCCCCAAAUACCAAAUACCUUAACUUUGGGCUCUACCACCACUUCAAUAAAAUGAAGCAGGAACAGUGAAUCUUAAGGCUUGACUGUUUAAUGUAAGGAACAGAACCUUUUCCACUGAACUAAUAGUAAAUGUGCUCUAGAAUGUAUCUAGAAUGAGCGCUCUAGAAUAUAUCUGCACUGCUAGGAUUACGAUAGCAUUAACAUUGUUAUUGGCACAUUAUCUUACCAUGUUGAUUACAGCAUCAUUAUUGAUUGUGAUUAAGUCACUAAUGUUUUAUUACUACUAUAAUAAAAUUACUCCUUAUAAAAUCCCACCAAUUACCCCAUAGUUACUGUAUCCUGUGAUAAUACAUGUGGUGAGAGAAUUAUAUGUAAUGCAUUAACAAUCAAUGCUUUCAGAGAUACCAUUCUAUUUAUAUAUUCGUAUUGUUUUCCCUUCUUCAUUAGGUGAGAUCGUAGGAGAUACCUUAAUUGAUUUUGGUGCUGGGCCAGCCAUCUAUCAUCUCCUUUCAGCCUGUGAGGUGUUUAAGAAUAUAAUUACUUCUGACUUCCUUGAGCAAAACUGUGCUGAGCUGAAUAAGUGGCUUAAGAAGGACCCUGGGGCAUUUGACUGGACUCCAGCUGUCAAGUUAGUAUGUGAGCUAGAAGGAAACAGGUAUGUCUCCAUCUAAGGCAAAAUGUAUAAACACACUAAGAAAAAAAUGUAACAAUACGUGAAAAACGAAGUGUUCCCAGGUGUACCUCGCAGACACCCAACUAAUAAGUUAAAAGCAAAGAAGAUUGGAAAACCACCCAGUACACGUAUAAAAUUGGAUAUAACCUGGAAAUUUGGACCAGGAUAAAUGAGAUCAGUAGAGCUCUAUAAUCAUGACAAACAUUACAUAGGGUAAUACAGUAUGAUAAAAAGGAGUGAGUAGUGUUUAGUAUUAAACUCACAAACAUAAGAUGAAACAGGCUUCUCACCCCACCAGGGGUUAAAACGGAUCAGAGAGCUGGUAGAUCUCAGUUUUGGAAAUCCUUUUGGUAAAUGGAGGAAAGAGAUACAUGGUGAAGUACAGUAAAAUCAAACAAAGGUUUAUUAAGAUUGCACUUAAAAGCAGGUAGAAAAUCUGGGCAUGUCUCCACACACUGUGGAACCAGGUAGCAGCGUGGUAGAUCUCUUAGUGACGAAAUGCAGAAAUAAAAACAAAACAAAUAUAAUACAAAAUUAAAAGUCCAUAAAGAGUCCAAGAUAAGUUGUCCAAUUACUGUUGUAUAUUAUUUCAUUGGAAAUGUUCAAAUCAAAUUGGUUUUCCAUUUGGUCAUAUUUGCUAAUUUUGUUUAAUGUAAAUAAAUUAUCAAUGUGUGUGAUAGAAUGUGGUGUCCAGUAAUCUAAAUUGAAGUCGGGGAUGUCAUAAAGUAAAACUGAUAAUGGAGUUGCCCUAGACCAAAUUGCAAAGGGUUUAAUUUUUUUUUUUUUUUAAGUGGGUGGUGACAAUUGGGACUGACCUCAGUGCCACUUAGGAGCCGGGCCAGCAACAAGUUUCUCUGCCUCCUCCUGUUGCUGGGCUUGCUGGAUUUCGGCCUGUGGGUGUCCUGGAUGUUGGAUCCAUUCUGUCUGUUCUCAGGGUUGGUGCUGUUGCAGACAGUGGCCUCCUCCUCCGGGUUCCGCUGGCGGUGUGGGUCGCCCCCGCCCCCUAUUCCUGUGGUUCUUCCUUAUUGUCAUUCUUUAUUUAUUGUCCCCCUCUUUCUUUAUUGUCCCCCUUCCUGUGGUUCUUCAUUAUUGUUCCUCUUAUUUAUUGUCCCCUCUUUCUUUAUUGUCCUCCCCUUCCUGUGGUUCUUCAUUUUGUCCCCCCCUUUCUAUAUUGUCCCCCCCUCUUUUUUUUUGUUCCCCCCCUUUUUCUCCCCAUGGCGUGGAUGUCUCUGGGGCUGGCCUGGCUGGGUCUCUUCUCUCCCACACCCCCUCUUUCUCCUCCUCUGCCCUUUCUCCCCUCCCCCCUUUGUGCUGCCCCUUUUCCCCUGUCCCUGUGUCCAUGCCUCCCCUGUCCCUGGGGCCCUUCCCACUCUCCACCCCCCCCCUCCUUACCUGUCUCGGCAGCCUCCUGUCCUGGAGCGUGGGCUCUCCAUCUCUCCACUGCUUCCUCAGGCUUUGGGUGCAGUUGCCGUGCAGCAGGUGGCGUCUGGAGCUCCAGUUGCCCUGGGAACUGCGCUGCAGGUGAUGGAAUCCUCUUCUCAAGCUGCUGUCUCUGCUAUGGUGCCGCAAGCAGUUCCUGGGGUGCCGUCAGGUGAGUCAUGUCUUCCUGCAUUGGCUGGGGCGUCUGUGCUAGGCGGGUUCAUGUCGGGUUUGCGGGAUCUCCUCUCUCAUUGGGAGCGGGGUGUGCUGGCACAGGGGGCUCAGGGCUUGGACGGUCAGUUGCGCUCAGUGCAGUACCUUCCUGUCGCAACGGUGAGUCCCGCGGUUGGCGGGGAAGUUAGCCCUGCAUGGGGGGGGGUAACCAGGGGGCUUUGGAUGACGUCGCAGACGCGGCAAAAGGGGAACCCUAAGGGUGCCUCUCAAACAGGAGGUUCGGGAAAAAUCAAGAAAGGGUGAUUUUGUCGAGAUAUUCCCCAUUUGCCCUCAGAGGAUGACCCUCCUCUGGGGGACAAGGAAGGGUAGGACUCGGACGAAGGUAAUGCAAAGUUCCAUUCUAGGUUCCGACUUGCACCUCUAUAUGGACACUACUGGCUCUGUUGGGUUUGGGCGAUUUUGGGAUCGUGCUGGUGUGCUGACACCUGGCCAGCGGCGUGGUCUGCGUCUGGCUUAACCAGGAAUCUUGCCUUCCUGGAGUUUUUUCCCAUUGUGGUGGCAUUGGAAUUGUGGGGUCGGGAGCUGCAGGAGCGUCAGGUCGUUUUGUCACUGUGAUGACCUGGGGGUUGUCCAGGUGUUUAACCAGCUCUCGGCCUCUUCUCUUCCGGUAAUACGCCCGCUCCAGCGCCUAGUGCUCCGGUGCCUGUGUCUUAAUGUGUUGUGUAGGUCCAGUUGCUCUUGGGCCAGGUAGUCCAAGGUAUGGGUGGCAGGCGCUGGAGUCGGAGGUGGGUAUCUUUCGGGUUUGCCUGCUCGUUUCAUGGUCUGUUGCGACUGCUGGAGCAUUGGGGUUUCGGCGGGUAUGUUGCCCUCGGUGGUGUCCUCGCGCUAGAGAGGGGUAUUUUUUAUAUACAUCCCUACAUGCUUAUCAACCCUUAAUAGGGAACACAUGGGAUGGGCAGCAGCAUUGCAACCUAGCCAGAGUGCGCUGGAGCGCUGCCGCAAAGAGUUUAACCGCCAGGUUUCACAGUUCAUUGUAGGGGUUGGGGCAGGGCCGGACUGGGAGAAAAAUUCGGCCCGGGCAUUUUUUUAACACAGCGGCCCACUAAAAAGGGGGCGGGGCAGAGGAGGUGUGUUUUGUCAUCACCAAUGACAAACACGCCUCCUCUCAAAGUGAGCAUGUUGGUUCAAUGCUCUUCCAGGGCAGACCACGCGCAGAGCUCUGCUGAAGAGCUCUAGCAUGAGAAAAAAGUCCUGUAUUUGUUCUGCACAGUGCAAGCAAAUUUAAUAACAUGCUUGCAUUGUGUUUCCUUGCAACUUGUCUCUGGUGUCUCUAUAAAUGGAUACCAGGAGACAAAAGGCCAGGACAGAGUAUUGUGCAUGUGUUUGGAGCCUGCUUGUGGUAUUGGGUGUGUGUAGAGUGAGCUGGUCGUGGUGUGGUAUUGUGUAAUAAGGUCGGUUUUAGUCGUGUUGUGUUUGUGGUGUAAUGUGAUGCAUAUGUGGCUCAGGAACCCCCUCCCGCACGGCUCUGGAAAGGGGUUAAAACUUACCUUUUUCCAGCGCUGGGCGGGGAGCUCUCCUCCUCCGAUCAGCCCCGUCGGCUGAAUGCGCACGCGCGGCAAGAGCUGCGCGCGCAUUCAGCCGGUCGCAUAGGAAAGCAUUUAUAAUGCUUUCCUAUGGACGCUUGCGUGCUCUCACUGUGAUUUUCACAGUGAAAAGCAUGCAAGCACCUUUAGCGGCUGUCAAUGAGACAGCUGCUAGAGGCUUUGGGGGAAGGCUUAACCCAUUGAUAAACAUAGCAGUUUCUCUGAAACUGCUAUGUUUAUAAAACAAUGGGUUAACCCUAGAAGGACCUGGCACCAAGACCACUUAAUUAAGCUGAAGUGGUCUGGGUGGCUAGAGUGGUCCUUUAAGAGUGUAGUGUGUGUGUGUAUGUAUAUGUGUGUGUAUAUAUAUAUAUAUAUAUAUAUAUAUAUUUGGAAGUAUUGUGUAUGUGUGUGGUGCAGUGUGUUGGGGGGGUUCUGUGUGUAUGUGAGGGGUGCAGCAUGUGUGUGUGUGAGGGUGCGGUGUGUGUGUGAGGGGUGCGGUGUGUGUGAUGGGUGUGAGAGUGCCGUGUGUGAGUGAUGGGUGUGAGAGUGCUGUGUGAGAUGGGUGUGAGAGAGUGCUGUGUGAGAGAGUGCUGUGUGUGUGUGAGAGUGCUGUGAGUGUGAUGGGUGUGAGAGUGCUGUGAGUGUGAUGGGUGUGAGAGUGCUGUGAGAGAGUGCUGUGUGUGUGAAAGUGCUGUGUGUGAUGGGUGUGAGAGUGCUGUGUGUGUGUGAGUGCUCUGUGAGAGUGCGCUGUGUGUGAUGGUGUGAGAGUGCUGGGUGUGAGAGUGCUGUGUGUGAUGGGUAAGAGAGUGCUGGGUGUGAGUGAUGGGUGUGAGAGUGCUGUGUGAGAGUGCUGUGUGUGAUGGGUAAGAGAGUGCUGGGUGUGAGUGAUGGGUGUGAGAGUGAUGUGUGAGAGAGUGCUGUGUGUAAUGUGUGUGAGAGUGCUGUGUGUGAUGGGUGAGAGUGCUGUGUGUGAGAGUGCUGUGUGAGAGUGCUGUGUGUGAGAGUGCUGUGUGAGAGUGCUGUGUGUGAUGGGUGUGAGAGUGCUGUGUGUGAUGGGUGAGAGUGCUGUGUGUGAGAGUGCUGUGUGUGAGAGUGCUGUGUGUGAUGGGUGUGAGAGUGCUGUGGGAGAGAGUGCUGUAUAAAUGUUAUUGUGUGUGUGUGUAGGGGGGGUAAAUAAAAAAAAAAAAAAAAGUCAUUAUUUCCCCCCUCCCUUCUUACCUUUAGCCUGGGAGGGGGGGUCCGGCAAGCUGGCAGGCAGGGUGGCGGUGUUCCCUGGUGGUCCUCGUGGGUGAGUGAACUCUAGCCUGUGAGGCUAGAGUUCACUCUCGCGAGAUCCGGUCGUUGCCAUGGCAACGCGCCGGAUCUCGCGAGAGGAACCCGGCGGAGCUGCAAGUUAGAGCUCCGCCGGGUCCUCUCUCCAGCCUAGCUGGCUGGCUGUCUCCCUCCCUCCCCGCCGGCAGCCGCAUGUGGGCCGGUCAGGGAGAUCCUUGAUCUCCCCACCGGCCCGUCGUGACAAACAGCGGGGCCGGCGCUAGGAGAGUGCCGGCCCUGCAUAGACCGGCAGGGGAGAUCCUGUGAUCUCCCCUGCCGGCCUCGGCCCAUGGCCACCGCGGCCCACCGGGCAUUUGCCCGGUGUGCCCGAUGGCCAGUCCGGGCCUGGUUGGGGGGAUACCCAUUCCUCACAGGGUUUGAGAAGGGGGUGGCUGAUUAGUUUCGGCCAUAGGGGGUUCAUUUGACCAAGGUCAGGCUCGAACCUUUUUUAAUCUGGCCAUUCAUGAGGCGGUGGAACAGGCCUUGGUUGGUUGUUUGGGGUCCCCUGCUGAUUUUAGGCUUAAAACAGCAGGGUUGAGGUGGGGGGUGUUCUUGCCAAGUAAGGGGUGGUGGUUUUUGCAGGUUAGAUGAAGGUGGGGGGUAAUGGCCGGGUCUCAUCCUCCCCUGUCUCUUUGGUGAAUCUUAAAUGGUACCAAGUUGGAUGUGUCCCCACCAAGAUAAAGCCAGCUGGUGGGGAGCCAAAAAGGCAAGAGGAGUUUAUUAUGCCGAGGGGGGAGGUGAGAGCCUUUGGGAAGAAGGAAUUAGAUUGGCAAGGACGUGUUGGACAAGUACUGUAUGACAUCAUGCAGGUACUUACAUGUUAUUUAUUUAUGAGAAUAUUAUGUAAAGUUAUAUGUUGAAGGAGUCAUGCAGUAUUUGUGUUUUAAUAAAUGCUGUGGCCUGUUACUUCCAAGAUUUGGUGUCUGUCUUUAUUUGGGGGGAAGCUAUGGUUUGGUAAAAGGUCAUCCCGUCCAAUGCCCACUACGUACAUACAUGUGCGUCAAACUUGUCUGGUUACAAAUACGUGUCUGUUAGUCCACCCAUUUUACAGUGCUACGGAACUUUUUGGCGCUUUAUAAAUAAUAAUAAAUAAUAAUAAUAAAAUAAAUAAUCUAAAGAUAAGAGCAAAGAAGGUGUGAGAUUUAGUUUUAUUUGAUGUAUUAUAUUUAUUUAACGCCUUGCACUAUCCGGGGCCUGAUGAUUUAAAACAAAACCCACCUGAUCAUAGUCAAUAAGUGAUGGAAAACUUUGAGAUGAUCUAUCUGCCAAUAUUUUGGAGAAAAUUUUUGUGUCAUUAUUAAAAGAACACAGACUUUUUUGUGUCAACAGAUAAAACCAUAUUAUGUCUAAUGUUCUCUUUCAACAGGGACAAUUGUGAGAAAAAUGAAGAAAAAGUGAGGAGAGCCAUGAAACAUAUUCUAAAAUGUGAUGCACUUAAAAAGAACCCAUUUGAGCCUGUCAUUCUGGAACCAGCUGAUUGCUUCUCAAGUUGUCUCUGCUUGGAAGCUACCUGUGUGGAUGCAGCCGUUUACUGCAACAGCCUUAAAAAUUUCAUGGACUUUCUCAAUCCAGGGGGUCAUAUCAUAAUACACAGUGCACUAAACUGUACAUUUUAUUACAUUGGGAACAAGACAUUUUCAAGCCUGAUGAUGACAAAAUAAGAUAUUAAAAGAGCUUUUAAAGAAGCUGGUUAUAAAAUUAAGAGGAUGGACGUUGUCCCUCGUGAAGACAUAUCAAGGAUGGACAAACCAUGACUAUGACAAUUAUUAUUAUUGUGUUAUUGCAUGUAAACCAGUUACUGUGUGAACAGAGUGCCACGUCUUAUACAACGUAGUAUAAUGUUUGUUUCUUGUAACUGCAAUAUUUUACAACAUCUUAAAGGUGGGUGAAGUCAGUGUAUCUCUAUUGGGUUUAGGGCUCUAAAUAUAUAAAUAAAGAAGUAGGGA